CACUUUUUGUCCCAAUAUAAAAAUAAAGGGCUCAUCAUAUAAACAAUCAUACAUCCCACUCUCAUGAAAAAGUGUAGUGGGCUUAUAGUACUUUUGUCCAAGUAUAAAAAUAAGGGCUCAUUAUGCAAACAAACAUACAUGCAGAGAAAUCAUGUUAGUUCUAGAAUCUGUAGCCCCCCUUAAACAACCUCUAUUUUUUUUCUCUUAUUCAUCAUCGCCUUUACAUGUACUUUUGAC